UCCCGACAGUCCAAGUCGCAACCCACAUUAUUGGGUCUAAAACAUCCGUAGCUUGUUAUGCAAGUCUCUUGUGAAAUCUUGUCUCUUAAAGGCAAGGCACGCAGGGGGUACUACAUGACUAGAGACCGGUAGGUGUAAGAAGUACGCUCAAGGUAGUAGUAAAAUACGUUAAUCUUGAGUGGACUCACAAUUAGCGAAGGCAUCUUACAAGGACGGAUCUGACAGUGAGGGAUGAAGGCCAAGGGCGCAAAAG
rnacentral:rRNA from 1 species